GAUGAACGCUGGCGGCGUGCCUAAUACAUGCAAGUCGAGCGAACGGACGAGAAGCUUGCUUCUCUGAUGUUAGCGGCGGACGGGUGAGUAACACGUGGAUAACCUACCUAUAAGACUGGGAUAACUUCGGGAAACCGGAGCUAAUACCGGAUAAUAUUUUGAACCGCAUGGUUCAAAAGUGAAAGACGGUCUUGCUGUCACUUAUAGAUGGAUCCGCGCUGCAUUAGCUAGUUGGUAAGGUAACGGCUUACCAAGGCAACGAUGCAUAGCCGACCUGAGAGGGUGAUCAGCCACACUGGAACUGAGACACGGUCCAGACUCCUACGGGAGGCAGCAGUAGGGAAUCUUCCGCAAUGGGCGAAAGCCUGACGGAGCAACGCCGCGUGAGUGAUGAAGGUCUUCGGAUCGUAAAACUCUGUUAUUAGGGAAGAACAUAUGUGUAAGUAACUGUGCACAUCCUGACGGUACCUAAUCAGAAAGCCACGGCUAACUACGUG
rnacentral:rRNA from 1 species